GAAAGGGUGAGUAUCAGGUGAAAGGGUGAGUCUCAGGUGAAAGGGUGAGUAUCAGGUGAAAGGGUGAGUAUCAGGUGAAAGGGUGAAUAUCAGGUGAAAGGGUGAGUAUCAGGUGAAAGGGUGAGUCUCAGGUGAAAGGGUGAGUAUCAGGUGAAAGGGUGAGUAUCAGGUGAAAGGGUGAAUAUCAGGUGAAAGGGUGAGUAUCAGGUGAAAGGGUGAGUAUCAGGUGAAAGGGUGAGUAUCAGGUGAAAGGGUGAGUAUCAGGUGAAAGGGUGAGUAUCAGGUGAAAGGGUGAGUAUCAGGUGAAAGGGUGAGUAUCAGGUGAAAGGGUGAGUAUCAGGUGAAAGGGUGAGUAUCAGGUGAAAGGGUGAGUAUCAGGUGAAAGGGUGAGUAUCAGGUGAAAG